CCUACGGGUGACUGCAGUGAGGAAUAUUGGUCAAUGGCCGUAAGGCUGAACCAGCCAAGUCGCGUGAAGGAAGAAGGAUCUAUGGUUUGUAAACUUCUUUUAUAGGGGAAUAAAGGUAUCCACGUGUGGUUAUUUGCAUGUACCCUAUGAAUAAGCAUCGGCUAACUCCGUGCCAGCAGCCGCGGUAAUACGGAGGAUGCGAGCGUUAUCCGGAUUUAUUGGGGUUAAAGGGUGCGUAGGUUGUUUUUUAAGUCAGCGGUGAAAGUUUGUGGCUCAACCAUAAAAUUGCCGUUGAAACUGGAAGACUUGAGUGUGUUUGAGGUAGGCGGAAUGCGUGGUGUAGCGGUGAAAUGCAUAGAUAGCACGCAGAACCCCGAUUGCGAAGGCAGCUUACUAAGCCAUAACUGACACUGAAGCACGAAAGCGUGGGGAUCGAACAGGAUUAGAUACCCUGGUAGUC
rnacentral:rRNA from 1 species